rnacentral:rRNA from 1 species
AAGACCUUGCACUUUUGGAGCGGCCGAUGUCUGAUUAGCUWGUUGGUGGGGUAAUGGCYUACCAAAGCUUCGAUCAGUAGCUGGUCUGAGAGGACGGCCAGCCACACUGGGACUGAGACACGGCCCAGACUCCUACGGGAGGCAGCAGUGGGGAAUUUUGGACAAUGGGSGCAASCCUGAUCCAGCCAUGCCGCGUGAGUGAAGAAGGCCUUCGGGUUGUAAAGCUCUUUCAGCCGGAACGAAACGGUUACGGAUAACACCCGUGACUACUGACGGUACCGGAAGAAGAAGCACCGGCUAACUACGUGCCAGCAGCCGCGGUAAUACGUAGGGUGCGAGCGUUAAUCGGAAUUACUGGGCGUAAAGCGUGCGCAGGUGGUUUUGUAAGUCAGAUGUGAAAGCCCCGGGCUCAACCUGGGAACU